rnacentral:tRNA from 2 species
AUUUAGUUAGUUUAAAUAAAAUAUUGAUUUGUGGAAUCAAAGAUAUAAAAUAAUAUACUAAAUU